AAAGUAAACAAGGCAAUCGCCGGUGGAGUACCGAGAGGUCCCACGGGAGGAAAGUCCGAGCUCCAUAGGGCAGGGUGCCGGUUAACGACCGGUGGGGGCGACCCUAAGGCUAGUGCCACAGAAAUGUAGACCGCCGAUGGAGGCAUCGCCUCACAGGCAAGGAUGCAACGGUGCGGUAAGAGCGCACCAGCAGCAUGGAGACAUGCUGGCUAGGUAAACCCCACCCGGAGCAAGACCUGAUAGGAGAUUGGCAUCUCUGGAUGCAGCUGUGGCCCGCAGUAAUCUCGGGUAGGUCGCUUGAGUUGUGUAGCAAUACACAACCUAGAUAGAUGAUUGCCACUCCAGACAGUGGGAGACGAGCAAGCCGUCGAACUGACCACUUGGAGAACAGAACUCGGCUUAUUGUUUGCUUUCUGG
rnacentral:RNase_P_RNA from 1 species